rnacentral:lncRNA from 1 species
UGCUGAAGGCAUCAUGAACCAUGUAGGCACCUUUAUGGUUGAUGAAGGUGCCUUAAUUAAAUGAAUGCACCUUCAUGGUUGAUGAAGGCGCCUUUGAUGAAGAAACCUGGAAGGAAGGAACCUGGAAGGAAGGUGCCUUCAUCAAAUUAUCAAGCUGGAAGGAACCUAGAAGGAAGGAACCUGAAAGGAAAGAAAAAACUUGGAAGAAAGGAACC